GGGAUAGCCCCCGGAAACGGGGAUUAAUACUCCAUAGUAUUGCGUCAACGCAAGUUGAUGUUCUUAAAGCUUCGGCGGUAGAAGAUGGGCAUGCGUCCUAUUAGCUUGUUGGUAAGGUAACGGCUUACCAAGGCAUCGAUAGGUAGGGGGCCUGAGAGGGUGGCCCCCCACACUGGUACUGAGACACGGACCAGACUCCUACGGGAGGCAGCAGUGAGGAAUAUUGGUCAAUGGAGGAAACUCUGAACCAGCCAUGCCGCGCGCAGGAAGAAUGCCCUAUGGGUUGUAAACUGCUUUUAUUUAGGAAGAAUCCCCAGUACGUGUACUGGGUUGACGGUACUAAACGAAUAAGGACCGGCUAACUCCGUGCCAGCAGCCGCGGUAAUACGGAGGGUCCAAGCGUUAUCCGGAAUCAUUGGGUUUAAAGGGUCCGCAGGCGGACUAGUAAGUCAGUGGUGAAAUCUCUCAGCUUAACUGGGAAACUGCCAUUGAUACUGUUAGUCUUGAAUUCGGUCGAAGUGGGCGGAAUGUGUCAUGUAGCGGUGAAAUGCAUAGAUAUGACACAGAACACCGAUA
rnacentral:rRNA from 1 species